UUGGAGGGCAAGUCUGGUGCCAGCAGCCGCGGUAAUUCCAGCUCCAAUAGCGUAUAUUUAAGUUGUUGCUGUUAAAAAGCUCGUAGUUGAACUUCGGGGUCUACCCAUUAGUCAGGCUUAAUUGUCUGCACUGGUGAGAUGGAUCUCUACCUUCUGAGGAACUUUCAUGCCAUUUAUUUGGUGUGGUUGGAUAUCAGGACUGUUACUUUGAAAAAAUUAGAGUGUUUAGAGCAGACUAUCGUCUGAAUACAUCAGCAUGGAAUAAUGAAAUAGGACGGACUGAUUCUAUUUCAUUGGUUUCUAGGAUCACCGUAAUGAUUAAUAGGGAUAGUUGGGGGCAUUAGUAUUCAAUUGUCAGAGGUGAAAUUCUUGGAUUUAUUGAAGACUAACUACUGCGAAAGCAUUUGCCAAGGAUGUUUUCAUUAAUCAAGAACGAAAGUUAGGGGAUCGAAGACGAUCAGAUACCGUCGUAGUCUUAACCAUAAACUAUGCCGACUAGGGAUCGGACGAAGUUAAUUUUAUAAUGACGCGUUCGGCACCUUACGGGAAACCAAAGUGUUUGGGUUC
rnacentral:rRNA from 1 species